rnacentral:rRNA from 1 species
UACGAAGGGAGCUAGCGUUGUUCGGAAUCACUGGGCGUAAAGCGCACGUAGGCGGAUUGUCAGUCAGGGGUGAAAUCCCGGGGCUCAACCUCGGAACUGCCUUUGAUACAGCAAGUCUUGAGUUCGAGAGAGGUGGGUGGAAUUCCUAGUGUAGAGGUGAAAUUCGUAGAUAUUCGCAAGAACACCAGUGGCGAAGGCGGCUCACUGGCCCGGUACUGACGUUGAGGUGCGAAAGCGUGGGGGAGCAAACAGGG